CUGGAUUGGUUUUCCCUCAAGAAAUUUUUUUAGGAUAUCUGUUGUAGUGCAUACAGAAAAAGAGAGUAGAUAGGAAAAUCAUUUCAUGUGUAUAUUGGAAAUGUUAUUAAUUUCAAUAAUUAGAUUUCAGCGAGUAAUUUCAGAAUGUUUAAUAGUUUAAACUAUAAUACGGACAAUAUAGAGAAUAUAAACUAAAAAUAGUAGGGAAAACUAGCCAGUAAUUUGGAAUCAAGUAUAGUGUGGAGUGGGAGGAUCAAAUAGCAAUGGAUUUAUUCCACUAGUUAGACUUUAUCUUUUCAUGGCUUCUCUUGUAUCCUUCUCUCUCCCUAAAGCUUUUGUAACUAGAUCUUCGUCAUCUGUCUCAGAAACAGACACGGACACCUCUUUUCCUGAGACUCUUGACUAGAAGUUGGGACGGAAAGGUAUUAAAUUCUUAGAAUCAGGCGAUGUUCCUACAGUUUAGCUGACAGUUAGAAAUGGAAGCUCACUGAAACUUCAGAUACCCAAUGGCCAUGUUAAGGAGGUUCUCUAUACUCUUCCUGCCAAGGAACGGGGGCAGGUUAUACCAACACUAAAGGUGGCAUUGGUUUGGUCAUCAAUGAGGUGUCUGGACCAAAUUCCAAAAGUUCUGCUCUCAAGACUUCUGAAUGGACAGUAAAAGAUGUUGAUUCAGAUUCAAUUGAUGCUUUCCAGGUACUGUUUCAUUCUACUCUUUCUUCUGUGACUGGAAACUGUCUGUCUUAAUUAUCUAAUACUCAUCUUUGGGCAGGCAAUUUUUUUCAUAUGAUUCUAAUUUUUAUCAUUGGGAAAUCAAUUUCAGUUGUUACGGUUACAAAGUGAAUAAUAUUUCCUCGAAUCUUUGGAAUACGUUUUAUUACAAUUUGCAUCUUUAUUGCCUUUUUCCUGGGAAUCGGAUCUUCCACUACCUGUUUACUCAGACUGUUCGUUUUCCUCUGAUGCUUUCAAUAAUUCAUAAGUCAGUUCUUAUCCGAUCAUAUAAUUUUCUGUGGUGAUUAAGAAAUCAACUGUUGUAAUUGGAGAUUAUAUAUAGAGAUUGAAUGGGUAAGAUCAAUUUUCAUAUCAUGGCAGGUUGAAUUGAGCUGCAGCAGCGGAACUGUUGAAAUAAGCUAUGUAGUGUCACUAUAUCCGUUAAGCUAGGGGGGGGGGGGGGGGGGUUUAUAGGGGCAAUUGACCCCCUAGAUUUUGGGGAAAAAAAAUUAUUGCUUAGCUUUUUUUUUUUUUCUUUUUUUUUUCCUUAGUUUUUUUUAUUAGAAGAUAUCCUGUAAAUUUUAUUUUUGCCCCCCUAAGCCAAGUCGUCUGGGUCCGCCCCUGGCAACAGCAGUUAUUGUGAAGAAUAAUGGCACAAGGCUAUCAACCUCAACACUGCUUUACUGAGUUAUUUCAAGUCGAAGAAAAGAAGCAAUACAGGAGUCCAAGGAUUGUAAGGCUACUCUUACUGUACACACCCGCAUUUGACCUCAGCUUCUGAAACCAUGUUUCCAUCUGAAGCUAUGAAAUCUGAAGAUCCUCGUUUGUUCUCUUUCGGCUGGGAGCAAUUGAAGCAUAAGCUUAGCAGAAUCUAUGCUGCCCCACCAGCGGAAAGAUCAAAGCCAAUUCAUGCAAGUGCACCUUCCAAAAAUGAAACCAUCUAUCAGGAGCGUGAGCUCUUCUUCAGGUUAAUAAGGAUGGGUUUUGACGAAAUAUAUUUGUCUAGCCCAGGUUCAUGAUCGGACAAUUAUGGAAGGACUAUUUUAUCUGCACUGGCCCUGCUUCAAUGUUGGUUCCUGUGACUGUCAACCCGGGUGAGGAGUGGUGAGGGGAACAAGUUAUAGAGCAUGAUAAUUUGCAAUCACAUCAUCUAAAAUAUUAAUUAAUGUUAAACUUGUGCUCUUGCGAGUUUACUACUGUAUAAAUAUGAGUCUGAGUUGUAGAAAAGGAAGAAGUACAUUAAAAUAUAUAAUUUAGGUUAACAUUUUUCUUUCCUUGAGUUUUCCUUUAAAUAUUCUUAAGAACUCAUUUUGAAUGUUUAAUGUUGAGUUAUUU
rnacentral:lncRNA from 1 species